GACUUUGUGGACUACCUGAGUGACCCCUCCAAGAAGAUUGACAUUGAGAGGGAGCUGGCUGAGGCAAAGAUCCAUCAUGUUAACCUGAUAGAUGUCCUCUUUGAACUGGUGAUGUUUGGGAUGAUGACAGCUCAGAAGUCCCUGAUGGUGCACCCUGGUGGGUUCAUGGAGCGUCUGUAUGCUCUCCUGUACUCCUUCCUGCCUG